rnacentral:lncRNA from 1 species
CUGCAGGUGACAUUCCGUCAUUCCUUUCCACGCUUGAAUAAUGGUCUCCUGCAGAGACAGGUCGCAUUUUACUCACCCUUUUCUUAACUGAUGGCCACUUGGGUUGUGUUCCUUCUUUGGCUGUUGCGGCCACAAGUCUGUGUGUGGACAUGUGUUUUCACUUCUCUUGGGUUUAUACCAGGCGUGGCACUGCUGGGUCCACAGGUGAGUUUCAGACUGGGUUUGCAGGUCAAGAGGGAGCGUAAAGAGAAGAAAUAGGACAGCGAGGAACCUACCGUGCGAAGGAAAGAUCUUUGCGGAAAGGUGUCUUCCCAGGUACCUUCUUGGAAAGAACAGCACCUGAAAUCAGGACUCAGCUGAGUGGGAAGGGCUGGCUAGCCUCUCAGUGGCUCCCGCAGAUCCCACUGUGGGGGGGAGAGGCGGCCACGGGCCCCAGACACGUAUCGGUCCUGUUCAACACAAGGGCGAGGGAUCCAGUGCUGUCGGAUCAGGAGGGGGCUCUGGAAGGCUGGCGGGGCUGGAGGGGGCCGGCUUGUCCCGAGAGCCCGACAAGCCAGCGGGUCAGAGACGGACGACCUCACGAGCAGGAAGCCCCGUAGUGCUCACGAGGUGGAGGGAAGGAACUCGACCUGGCCCGUCAUCUGCUCUCUGUGUAAAUUACUCCAUAUCCCUGGCCUCACCUGAUUCUCUGUAAAACUUGAAUUAUUUGACUCGGCUGCUGUGGAGAGUAAACAGUAAUGUAUAUGCACCCCGUGUGUUCAGCUGAACCACAGCACAUUGCCCCCAGGUGACUGUUUUUGUCUUGCAGGGACAGCAGUGUCACGCUGUUCAGUUUCCUCGUCCUCAUUCAAUCAUCAGUAGUUACCGGAUUACCUUAAAGAUGGGUGCCGUUGCUGUCACUGAAAGUAGGUAAGCCCAGGACAAGGCAAAGAGGAUUCAAACAUCGGCACUUAAACAGGAAGACAGGAGUUCCCCUGUGGUGCAGCAGGUGAAGGAUCAGGCGUAGUCACUGCCGUGGCACAGGUUCGAUCCCUGGCCCGGGAACUUCCACAGGCUGUGAGCGAGGCCAAGUGGAUACAGAAAGAAGACCUAGGAGGCGGCUCCGGGGCUCAUCAGCCGGGAAGGCAGCAGUUGCCGUUUUCCCAGAGGCCUGAGGAACUGGUCAGGAUGGGGGAUCGAGGGAUCGGGGGGAAGGCAGCGGGCAUAGGGGCAUAGAAGCGAGGGGCAGGGCAGGCUCCUGCUGGGUGAGAAACAGGCUGCCAGCCUGAGAAAUCUGCACGUCAUCGGCUCGGAGCGUCCCCCCUCGGGACACGUCAUGCUGUUGAUUUAGCCUCCACAUCCCCCUCAAAGGACUUUCCCCACCCGGCUUCGCAAACCCCAAGUCUCGGGUAAAGCCACAGAAGGGGAGCCUUUCAAUGGCCCCACCGGCCACCCUCAGAGCUGCUGGGCCGGCCUCCGCCCGCGUUUUGUCGGGUCCCACCCUCAUUUCGUAGCUGCCCUCGGCUCUCUCCCUCUUUCGUGUGUUCUCGCCCUUGACCUAUAGCGGAUGUCCGUUCUUAACUGUCCAGCCACCUGUUGACUCAGUGACUUAAUUCAGCUCCUUGGGUUUCCUGCGGCGUCUGUCUCUAGAAGGUGGCUCGUCUGUGGAAUUUCUCUGUUUCACUCUGCGGAUUCUAACUGGGGUGGCAGAGGCGCCACAUGUAAACAUUUGUCUUUAGGCAUAUUUCAACUUUGUGUCAUUUUUCUAAAGCUUGGGUUCCGAAGGGCAUCUGAUUAGCUUGGGGAACCCUGAGAAGUCGGGUAAAAUGAGGUCUAAAGACACACCACGUAACCACAGCAGCGAGCGGCAGGACACCGGCAGGAGGAGGCACUUGGGCCUUACGACCCAAGUAAGCCGAGUGUGACUCCUCUUCCUGUCACCCCAACUUUUACGCUGGGCUAAUUUUUACAUCUCUGGUCUCCGAUCUCCUCAUUUGCGAAUAGUGGAUAAUAAUGACACUUAUUUAACAGAGAUCUUGUGCGGCUUAGAGGCGGUAUGUACACUUGGUUGGUGGCCCAUUCUCAAAAACACAGUCGUUAAUAGUGAUAAGAUAAGCUGUGAGUGAGGCAAUGAUAGUUUGUAGAAAGCAGAAGGAAUGCAAAUACAACUCUUCUCCUACUGUUAUUAUCUUUCUUUUUAUAGAGUAAUCUAUCUUUGUGCUGUAAAAAAUUGAGGAAAUAUAGGUAUAAACAAAAGGAACAGAACAGUCACCAACCAGAGAAACGUUUCGAUAUGUAUCCUCUUUUCCCAACCACAUAAAUAACGUUUUAAAAACAAAACUAUGGUUGUACAAUACGUAUUUUCGUUGUUAACAACAUCUGUAAACCUCUUUCUGGGAUGUUCAGUCUGCCGUGACCACAGUUGGGACGGCCCCAUAGGCGUCCCCGGGGUGGCUGUACCGUAAUUUAUUUAACGUAUUUCUAACUGUUGGUUAUUGAGGCUGUUUCUGAUUUCUUUCGCUGUGCUUGAUGGACACUGGUGUGGUUAAGUCUUGGCACCCUGGCUUAUUUCCUUCUCCUUCUGCUGCUCUCGCAGUGUAUGCAAGUUCCCAGGCUAGGGGUUCAAUCAGAGCUGCAGCUGUCGGUCUACACCCCAGUCACAGCAAUAAGGGAUCCCAGCCACGUCUGUGACUUACACCACAGCUCACAGCGGUGCUGGAUCCUUAACCCUUAAUCUGCCAAACGAGGCCAGGGAUUGAGCCCAUGUCCUCGUGGACACCAGUCGGGUUCGUUUUUACUGAGCCAUGACGGGAACUCCUCAGCUGGAUUCUUGACCCACUUUGCCACAGAGGGCACGCCUCUUAUCUUCUUCUUCUAUUUUUUUUAGGGCCACACAUGUGUCAUAUGGAAGUUCCCUGGCUAGAGGUCAAAUCGGAGCUGCAGCCACAUCUGUCAGCAGCUGGCAGCAACGCUGGAUCCUUAACCUACUGAGUGAGGCCAGGGAUCGGUGAUCCAUUGGUUGUUUAGUAGCAUGUUGUUUCGUCGAGGCCAGGGAUCGAACCCUCAUCUUCAUGGCUACUACUUCGCAUUCUUAACCCACUGAGCCACAAGGGGAACUCCCUCUUAAUAAAAAAACUUGACCAGAGAGUUCCCCGAUGACACAGUGGGUUAGGGACCUGGCGUUGUCACUGCUGUGUCUUGGGUUGUUGUUUUGGCUUGGGUUCAGUCCUGGCCCAGGAACUUCCACAUGCCGCAGGCAAGGCC